UGCCAGCCGCCGCGGUAAUACGGAGGGUGCAAGCGUUACUCGGAAUUACUGGGCGUAAAGCGAGCGCAGGCGGCUUAUUAAGUCAGGUGUGAAAGCCCGGGGCUCAACCCCGGAACUGCACCUGAAACUGGUAAGCUUGAGGAUGAGAGAGGAAAGUAGAAUUUCUGGUGUAGAGGUGAAAUUCGUUGAUAUCAGAAGGAAUACCCGUGGCGAAGGCGGCUUUCUGGCUCAUUUCUGACGCUGAGGCUCGAAAGUGUGGGUAGCAAACAGGAUUAGAUA
rnacentral:rRNA from 1 species